rnacentral:rRNA from 1 species
GGUUAAGCGACUAAGCGUACACGGUGGAUGCCCUGGCAGUCAGAGGCGAUGAAGGACGUGCUAAUCUGCGAUAAGCGUCGGUAAGGUGAUAUGAACCGUUAUAACCGGCGAUUUCCGAAUGGGGAAACCCAGUGUGAUUCGUCACACUAUCAUUAACUGAAUCCAUAGGUUAAUGAGGCGAACCGGGGGAACUGAAACAUCUAAGUACCCCGAGGAAAAGAAAUCAACCGAGAUUCCCCCAGUAGCGGCGAGCGAACGGGGAGCAGCCCAGAGCCUGAAUCAGUGUGUGUGUUAGUGGAAGCGUCUGGAAAGGCGCGCGAUACAGGGUGACAGCCCCGUACACAAAAAUGCACAUAUUGUGAGCUCGAUGAGUAGGGCGGGACACGUGGUAUCCUGUCUGAAUAUGGGGGGCCCAUCCUCCAAGGCUAAAUACUCCUGACUGACCGAUAGUGAACCAGUACCGUGAGGGAAAGGCGAAAAGAACCCCGGCGAGGGGAGUGAAAAAGAACCUGAAACCGUGUACGUACAAGCAGUGGGAGCACGCUUAGGCGUGUGACUGCGUACCUUUUGUAUAAUGGGUCAGCGACUUAUAUUCUGUAGCAAGGUUAACCGAAUAGGGGAGCCGAAGGGAAACCGAGUCUUAACUGGGCGUUAAGUUGCAGGGUAUAGACCCGAAACCCGGUGAUCUAGCCAUGGGCAGGUUGAAGGUUGGGUAACACUAACUGGAGGACCGAACCGACUAAUGUUGAAAAAUUAGCGGAUGACUUGUGGCUGGGGGUGAAAGGCCAAUCAAACCGGGAGAUAGCUGGUUCUCCCCGAAAGCUAUUUAGGUAGCGCCUCGUGAAUUCAUCUCCGGGGGUAGAGCACUGUUUCGGCAAGGGGGUCAUCCCGACUUACCAACCCGAUGCAAACUGCGAAUACCGGAGAAUGUUAUCACGGGAGACACACGGCGGGUGCUAACGUCCGUCGUGAAGAGGGAAACAACCCAGACCGCCAGCUAAGGUCCCAAAGUCAUGGUUAAGUGGGAAACGAUGUGGGAAGGCCCAGACAGCCAGGAUGUUGGCUUAGAAGCAGCCAUCAUUUAAAGAAAGCGUAAUAGCUCACUGGUCGAGUCGGCCUGCGCGGAAGAUGUAACGGGGCUAAACCAUGCACCGAAGCUGCGGCAGCGACGCUUAUGCGUUGUUGGGUAGGGGAGCGUUCUGUAAGCCUGCGAAGGUGUGCUGUGAGGCAUGCUGGAGGUAUCAGAAGUGCGAAUGCUGACAUAAGUAACGAUAAAGCGGGUGAAAAGCCCGCUCGCCGGAAGACCAAGGGUUCCUGUCCAACGUUAAUCGGGGCAGGGUGAGUCGACCCCUAAGGCGAGGCCGAAAGGCGUAGUCGAUGGGAAACAGGUUAAUAUUCCUGUACUUGGUGUUACUGCGAAGGGGGGACGGAGAAGGCUAUGUUGGCCGGGCGACGGUUGUCCCGGUUUAAGCGUGUAGGCUGGUUUUCCAGGCAAAUCCGGAAAAUCAAGGCUGAGGCGUGAUGACGAGGCACUACGGUGCUGAAGCAACAAAUGCCCUGCUUCCAGGAAAAGCCUCUAAGCAUCAGGUAACAUCAAAUCGUACCCCAAACCGACACAGGUGGUCAGGUAGAGAAUACCAAGGCGCUUGAGAGAACUCGGGUGAAGGAACUAGGCAAAAUGGUGCCGUAACUUCGGGAGAAGGCACGCUGAUAUGUAGGUGAAGUCCCUUGCGGAUGGAGCUGAAAUCAGUCGAAGAUACCAGCUGGCUGCAACUGUUUAUUAAAAACACAGCACUGUGCAAACACGAAAGUGGACGUAUACGGUGUGACGCCUGCCCGGUGCCGGAAGGUUAAUUGAUGGGGUCAGCGCAAGCGAAGCUCUUGAUCGAAGCCCCGGUAAACGGCGGCCGUAACUAUAACGGUCCUAAGGUAGCGAAAUUCCUUGUCGGGUAAGUUCCGACCUGCACGAAUGGCGUAAUGAUGGCCAGGCUGUCUCCACCCGAGACUCAGUGAAAUUGAACUCGCUGUGAAGAUGCAGUGUACCCGCGGCAAGACGGAAAGACCCCGUGAACCUUUACUAUAGCUUGACACUGAACAUUGAGCCUUGAUGUGUAGGAUAGGUGGGAGGCUUUGAAGUGUGGACGCCAGUCUGCAUGGAGCCGGCCUUGAAAUACCACCCUUUAAUGUUUGAUGUUCUAACGUGGACCCGUGAUCCGGGUUGCGGACAGUGUCUGGUGGGUAGUUUGACUGGGGCGGUCUCCUCCUAAAGAGUAACGGAGGAGCACGAAGGUUGGCUAAUCCUGGUCGGACAUCAGGAGGUUAGUGCAAUGGCAUAAGCCAGCUUGACUGCGAGCGUGACGGCGCGAGCAGGUGCGAAAGCAGGUCAUAGUGAUCCGGUGGUUCUGAAUGGAAGGGCCAUCGCUCAACGGAUAAAAGGUACUCCGGGGAUAACAGGCUGAUACCGCCCAAGAGUUCAUAUCGACGGCGGUGUUUGGCACCUCGAUGUCGGCUCAUCACAUCCUGGGGCUGAAGUAGGUCCCAAGGGUAUGGCUGUUCGCCAUUUAAAGUGGUACGCGAGCUGGGUUUAGAACGUCGUGAGACAGUUCGGUCCCUAUCUGCCGUGGGCGCUGGAGAACUGAGGGGGG